UGGAGCGGAGGAGGACGGACACCCCUGGACGAGUUCAGCCGUCCUCUGCCAGGAGCUCCUCCGGGGUGCCUGGCCUCCUGGUGAAGGCAACGUCACCUCGCCGCACACAGGCAGGUGCCAACCCACCCUUUCUGCCCCUGGGGUUAUAAGGAAUUCCUGAUCCAUCCUGACUCCCUUCAAAGGAUCCCUGGGCCAGGGCCACCCAGGCAAGGCUGUUUGUCCCGGGCUCAGUGGACACCUCGACAUGUGCCAGGUGCAGAAGCCUUCCGCCUCCCCUUUGCUCAGAAGUGCCGCCACAUACCCGGGGAAUCCGCCGGGUCUGUGGGUGCAAGACUGCUGUUCCCCGCACCUCCUGGAGAGGGAAGGUGAAAGGUUAGGGGUCUUCCCCUCUGCAGUCCCGGUCAUUGACCAGCUGGGUCGCUGAGAUAUGGAGGUCCCGUGCACAUGGCUCCGUCUCUACCUGCGGUUCCCUAGGCUCCAGAAGAGAGGGGAGGUUGGGUGUCCUCACCUGUCACCAGGAGCAUCACCGGAUUGCUGGGGAAGGACCACGCGUGGUUGUUGUAGGAGCCAAAGCAUCUGUAGGUCCCCUGGUGGGCCACGGUCACCGGGCCCACAGGGAACUCUGCCUGUGUGCUCCCGAGGCUACGCUGUGUGCUGCUGGACCUCCCUUCUUUGAGCAGAAAGAAAGUGCUGGUUGCUGUCGCUAGGUGGCAAAAGAAGGUCACGCUGUCCCCCAGGGCCACCUCAGGUCCGGGAUGAACAGAGAGGGUGGGUGUGUCAUACAUUCCUGGGAGAAAAGGUGGCUGGUGGGAGGACAGCACGCUGACCCUGCUCCCCCACCUCCUGUCUCAAAGUCCUCAAGGCCACAGGCCACUCUCGGGAAUCUGUCCCCCUUCCCCUGUCCCAGAUCUGCCCUGGUCACAGCCAUGUCCUACCAAGCACUCCUUCAAGACCGAGGCUCUCAGUGCCCGGCUUCCAGGACUGAGUAGGAAUGUCUCUGGGAGUGGCCCUCGGCCUGUGCUCCUCAGGGCUGAGGGUAGGAUCGGCAGCAUGAUGCCAUACCACAGUCCCCUCCAGAGCCACCACCGCAGACACCCAGGGACGGGACACUCUGUGGUGUUUUUAAAACAUAUUACUUUCCCACUGUGGCCAGACGCGCACAGUGUGACCUUUCCACCUGAGCCACCUCCGUGGACAGUUAGAGCCACUGGUUGCUCACCGCCCAGGCAGUGCUCACCGCCCAGGCAGUGCUCACCGCCACCACCUGUCACCACCAGGUCCUGCUAGGAGUGGGUCAGUCACCUGUCACCACCAGGUCCUGCUAGGAGUGGGUCAGUCACCUGUCACCACCAGGUCCUGCUAGGAGUGGGUGGGUCACCUGUCACCACCAGGUCCUGCUAGGAGUGGGUGGGUCACCUGUCACCACCAGGUCCUGCUAGGAGUGGGUGGGUCACCUGUCACCACCAGGUCCUACUAGGAGUGGGUGGGUCACCUGUCACCACCAGGUCCUGCUAGGAGUGGGUGGGUUACCUGUCACCACCAGGUCCAGGGAGCUGCUGGGCUCGGACCAGAGCUCCCCUCUGCGGUAGAAGCAGUGGUAUUGCCCUGCUGUGCUGGAGGCCAUGGUGGGGAUGAGGAACUUGACUUUGUCCACGAGUCCAGGUGGUCUUGGUCUCUUCAGGGCAGCAACCCCUCCCUCAAAAUGCAGCCGGUACUCCUCAGCCUCCCGGGUGCCCCAGCACCACAGGGUCACCGACUGUCCCUUUGGAACCAUGAAGCUGGGCCUGGCUUGGAUGACGGGUCUCGGGAGGCCCUCUGGAAGGGAAGCGAGGCUGUGGUGCAGGGGAGCCUCCGGCCUGCCCCCCGCUCCCGCCCACCUGCUGGCCCAAGCCCUCCCAGCACCGCGGAGCCUGCCUCCCCCGUGUUCUAGGUGGACGGCUGAACCCUGGGCGACUCUGGGCCUUAGGGGAGGACUCACCACUCUGGAUGCUGGUCCUCAGGCUCAGGUGCAGCCCUGGAACGCAGGCAGUAUGAGGACAGUGCCCACCACACCUGGCCCGGGGCCCUUCCACCAGAGACUCACCGAGGCACAGCAGGGCCACCGGUGUGGGUGGCAUGGCACGAUGCUGCAGGCCGAUGCGGGGCAGCCAGACGGGGACUGGGCAGCCGGAUGGGGACUGAGCCGGCAGUCCAGGGACAGGCACAGGAUGUGGUAGGUGUGGCCGGCGCCCGUGCCCCGGGACUUCCACACCAAGGUUUGACCAGAUGUUCACAGCUCUUCCUCCCCCUCUGGGCCUGGGCCUGGUUUUCUUUUUCUCUAUUUUCUUCCCCACAGUGUCUAGACAAUUUUGAAAGGGAAUGCUCACGGGGCGCUCCACUCCAGCAGCUCCGGUCAGUGCACGUGGUCAUGGACCACGGUCCGGUCAAACGCAGAACGGCUCCAACCCAGACCAUGGGAAAGUCCGUGCAGCGGUUUUGGCUCCCACACACGAGAGAAAACCCAGGACCCUCGACCUUCUUUCUGAGCCUGGCUCAGUUCACUUAGCGUACGUUUCUGGUGGGUUUUGGGGUCUUCUAGACACAGGAUCCUGUCGUCAGCCAGCAGGUAGUUUGGCCUCUUCCUUUUGUGUUUGGGUCCCUUUGAGUCCCUCCUCGGGCCCUCGGGCUGGCCUUUCAAGGCCUGGGUUGGGUUGGAGUGGUGGAGUGGGCGCCCCGUGGAUCCCUGAUUCAGGGAGAAGCUUCCGUUUUUCCCUGUUCACAGGUGGGUUUUGCACCAGCCCUGCUAGCUCCAGGGUCCCCUCUCGUGAAGGAAGCCCUUCCCGAGGCGCAGCCCCCUUCCGAGCUUCUCCUCCACAGCAGCGGCUCCUGUUUAAGGUGCUGAAACCACGUCCCCAGGCCCUUAGAGAUGACAGGUGGCCGCCCACUGACAGGCACCUGUGUUAUCAGUUUCAUCAGAAAGGUUUCACGCUCAGCUUUCAGUUCUAGGGUGAUUUUUGUCCCUUGAGAGCAGACAGUUAUUCACUCUAACUCUGCGUCCCAUCCGGGCACGGAGCGUCUGCCCAGGCCAGGGUCACGGUCAGCGAGCUUCAGCCGCUGUGGGAACCUCGUCAGGCCCCUGGAGCCUCUCAGAGGGCGGAUGGAGAUGCGAGGUCAGCACCCAGGCGUCCUCAGGGCAGUGUCCUCUCGGGUUCAUUACUAGGAUACCCCUACCGCCCUGGCCUCCUCGGGUCCUGCCUGGAGGUGUCUAGGAUGGAUCCUGUCGCCUCGGCCCCUGCUCCGCUUAGUUUGCAGACGUCCUUGGACCCCAAGGGUCCUCUGGUUACACAGACCCGUCCUUCCCGACGCCUGACCCUGAUGUGUGAUGGCCCCGGACGCGGUCUUCUCCCCAUCUCCCCGUAGCUCACAGCAAACCCACCCGACGCUCGUCUUCCUGAAGGUCACUCUGAUCUCCUUUCCACCUGAGCUCUGGUGUCACCUUGGGGACAUGGCUCCCCAGGUGGCUGCUGUCCCUCCCUCUCCCUUCCUCCUAUCAGCGAUUUGGGGGUGUGGGGGUGGAUUCCCCCAGUUCAGAGCCCCGACCCUCUAUUCUGAUCAAGACCCUGCCCAGGGCAGCUUCAGAGAGCGGCGCAGCCUGCUCCUCCCUGCCCUGACACACACAGGCGCAGAGCGCUUUACCAGAUACGCUUAUGUUCACUCUUUCUCCUUUUUUUUUAAUGGAGAUGAUACAAAAAGCCUAUUCCGUAGUCGGACGCAGGAGGAGGAAAGAACAACCACUGUUGCAUUCCUCCACGCUCCUCAUCUGGGACCCCCUCCGUCUGGCCAGGGGUGCCCAGGUUUGUCCUCACUGGUCCCCUCCCCUGGGGUCACAGCCUGGACCAGCUCUUGUCAGGCCGACUCUUCCGCCCUCCUCUGGAGCUCCCCAGUGCUGACCUGGUGCUGGAGGACCCUCGUGGUGGGCGGGGGUGGGGGAGCUGGCUCCAGCACCGGGCAGAGACCUGGGCAGAGCUGCCUCGGCAGCUUGUGCUCACCAGACCUGAAAGACGUCUCCUGUUGUCCAGCCCAGCUCUGAGCAGCUUCCAGUGGUGACCUUGAGUCCUCAUGGUGACCCAGAGAGGUUGGCCACAUUAUUCUGCACUUCGCAAAUAAGGGAACUGAGGCACUAAAAGGUGAGCCCAUGCGGAGGUGUACCCGGCUACUGAGAGGCGUCUGGGGACCUCGGGAUCCAGACAGUGCCUGCAGAUGGGGCAGGAGGUGUACCCGGCUACUGAGAGGCGUCUGGGGACCUGGGAUCCAGACGGUGCCUGCAGUUGGAGCAGGAGGUGUACCCAGCUACUGAGAGGCGUCUGGGGACCUCGGGAUCCAGACGGUGCCUGCAGAUGGGGCAGGAGGUGUACCCGGCUACUGAGAGGCGUCUGGGGACCUGGGAUCCAGACGGUGCCUGCAGAUGGAGCAGGAGGUGUACCCGGCUACUGAGAGGCGUCUGGGGACCUGGGAUCCAGACGGUGCCUGCAGAUGGGAAGCAUCUUCCCAGGACGCCGGGUGCUGAGGUGGAAUGAACCCUCCCCUCCCCUCUGAGCUCCUCUCUGGGUCUUUCUGGGUCUCUGUAUCUACUUAGUUCAGCUCCAGUUCUACCUCAGAGCACACCUGUACCCUAGGGAGGUCCAGAAGCAGGCUGCAAGGGACGGAUUUCACGUCCUGAGUGACCACUUCAAUCACAACUGACACAGGAGGUGGCUUUGGUGAUUUCAUUUUUUUUUUCUGUUCAUUUCUGCCAUUUAUUUUUUCUAGUGCAUUAUGACCACACACAGUAGUGGGCUUCAUCGUGACAGGUUUGUACGUACAGCAUGAUUUGGUCCAUUUCAUUAACCAUGUCCCCUGUCCUUUCUACCCUGCUGUUGUGGUUUAGAUGUGAGGUGUCCCCCAGAAGUUCAUGUGACAAAGUGGGAAGGUUUAGAGGGGAAUAAUUGGGUGUGGGAGCCUCGACCUAAUCAGGGCAUUAACCGA